rnacentral:lncRNA from 1 species
UGGGGUAGAGCACCAAGUGAGCUCUUGGGAUCCCUAAUUCCAGGCCUUAGCUUUUAGAUGGCAUUUGAGGAAACCAUUGCCCUGAAGGGAGAGUCCCAUGCCUGAGAGCAGUCCCCAAAGGUUGACUGAAGAGUCCUUGGACAUUGAAUGAAAAUUGAUAGUAGCCAGGCAGUACUCACCACAGGCCUCAGACAGGGGUGGCCAUAAGGAGAGACUCCUCUGCUCGUGUAAAGAGGAGGGAAGAGUAGGAAGAACUCUGUCUUAUUCUUUGGUGCCAGCUCAGCCACAGAAUAGAACACCAAGUAGAUUCCUGUUUCUGAUGCCAGGCCCUGGCUCUAAGAUGGCAUCUCUGGACUCACCCAGGACUGAGAGGAACUUGCCACCUUGAAGGGAAGGACACAAGCCUGGCUGGCUUCACCACCUACUGAUUGUAGAGCCGUACAGCCUUGGGCAAGCAUAGUUGGUAGCCAGGCAGUGGAUACUGCAGACCUUGGGAGAGACCCAGUCUGAACCAGCAUAGUUCUAGGUUUUGAACAUUGCAGCCAUAUCUGCAUUAGGCUGGCCACAGGGGCACUGUGUCACCCCUCUGCCACCUCCAGCAGCUCAGCACAGAGUGAGGGACUCUAUUUGUUUGGGAUAAAGUAAGGGAAGAGAACAAGAGUCUCUGCCUGGUAAUCCAGAGAAUUUUUCCUGAUCUUACCAACACCACCAAGGUGGUAGGUACCUCUACAAGUCCGCAAAAGCCUCAGCACUACUGGGCUUGGGGUGCCCCCUAAUGCAGACAUGGCUGCAGUGACCAAAAACUUAGAUCACAAUACCCAAGUCCCUUCAAAUGUCUAGAAGGUCUUCCUGAGAAGGACAAGUACAAACAAGCCAAGACUGCAAAGACUACAAUAAAUACCUAACUCUUAAAUGCCCAGAUACUGAUGAACAUCCACAAGAUUUAAGACCAUCCAGGAAAACAUGACCUCACCAAAUGAAUUAAAUAAGGCACCAAUGACCAAUUAUGGAGAGACAUAUAUGUGACCUUUCAGAUAAAGAAUUCAAAAUAGCUAUUUUGAGGACACUCAGUGAGAUUCAAGAUAACACAAAGAAGAAAUUCAGAAUCCUAUCCGAUAAAUUUAACAAAGAGGUUGAAAUAACUCAAAAGAAUUGAGCAGAAAUUCUAGACUUGAAAAAUGCGAUUGACAUAUAAGGAAUGCAUCAGAGUCUCCUAGCAGCAGAAUUGAUCAAGCAGAAGAAAGAGGUAGUGAGCUUGAAGACAGGCUAUUUGAAAAUACACAGUCUAGG